rnacentral:rRNA from 1 species
CGUGAGAAACCUGCCCCGGUCUCUGGGAUAACAGUUGGAAACAACUGCUAAUACCGGAUGCCGUCGGACCGUCGCAUGGCGGACCGACGAAAGGGUUACCGGAUCGGGAGGGUCUCGCGGCCUAUCAGCUUGUUGGUGAGGUAACGGCUCACCAAGGCAUCGACGGGUAGCUGGUCUGAGAGGAUGAUCAGCCACACUGGGACUGAGACACGGCCCAGACUCCUACGGGAGGCAGCAGUGGGGAGUAUUGCACAAUGGGCGAAAGCCUGAUGCAGCAACGCCGCGUGCGGGAUGAAGGCCCUAGGGUUGUAAACCGCUUUCAGCAGGGAAGAAAAUGACGGUACCUGUAGAAGAAGGUGCGGCCAACUACGUGCCAGCAGCCGCGGUGACACGUAGGCACCAAGCGUUGUCCGGAUUUAUUGGGCGUAAAGAGCUCGUAGGCGGUUCAGUAAGUCGGGUGUGAAAACUCUGGGCUUAACCCAGAGACGCCACCCGAUACUGCUGUGACUUGAGUCCGGUAGGGGAG